UACGGGGGAGGGCAAGCGUUGUUCGGAAUUACUGGGCGUAAAGGGCUCGUAGGCGGCCAACUAAGUCAGACGUGAAAUCCCUCGGCUUAACCGGGGAACUGCGUCUGAUACUGGAUGGCUUGAGGUUGGGAGAGGGAUGCGGAAUUCCAGGUGUAGCGGUGAAAUGCGUAGAUAUCAGGAGGAACACCGGUGGCGAAGGCGGGAUCCUGGGCCAGUACUGACGCUGAGGAGCGAAAGCGUGGGGAGCAAACAGG
rnacentral:rRNA from 1 species